GAUGAACGCUAGCUACAGGCUUAACACAUGCAAGUCGAGGGGCAGCGCGGGAGAAGCUUGCUUUUCCUGGCGGCGACCGGCGCACGGGUGCGUAACAGGUGUGCAAUCUGUCCUAUACCAGAGCAUAGCCCAGCGAAAGUUGGAUUAAUUCUCUAUGUGAGCCGAGAGGGCAUCCUUUUGGUUUGAAACGCGAGGGUAUAGGGUGAGCACGCUUCUGAUUAGCUAGUUGGUGAGGUAACGGCUCACCAAGGCGACGAUCAGUAGGGGUUCUGAGGGGAAGGUCCCCCACAUUGGAACUGAGACCCGGUCCAAACUCCUACGGGAGGCAGCAGUGAGGAAUAUUUGUCAAUGGACGGAAGUCUGAACCAGCCAAGUCGCGUGAAGGAUGAAGGUUCUAUGGAUUGUAAACUUCUUUUGUCUGAGGGUAAAAAAGGCCACGUGUGGCUUCUUGCAAGUAUCAGACGAAUAAGCAUCGGCUAACUCCGUGCCAGCAGCCGCGGUAAGAC
rnacentral:rRNA from 1 species